rnacentral:rRNA from 1 species
UACGUAGGGGGCAAGCGUUGUCCGGAAUCAUUGGGCGUAAAGAGCGUGUAGGCGGUCCGGUAAGUCGGCUGUGAAAGUCCAGGGCUCAACCCUGGGAUGCCGGUCGAUACUGCCGUGCUUGAGGACUGGAGAGGAGACUGGAAUUUACGGUGUAGCGGUGAAAUGCGUAGAUAUCGUAAGGAAGACCAGUGGCGAAGGCGGGUCUCUGGACAGUUCCUGACGCUGAGGCACGAAGGUCAGGGGAGCAAACGGG